rnacentral:rRNA from 1 species
GACGAACGCUGGCGGCGUGCCUAAUACAUGCAAGUUGAGCGCUGAAGGUUGGUACUUGUACCAACUGGAUGAGCAGCGAACGGGUGAGUAACGCGUGGGGAAUCUGCCUUUGAGCGGGGGACAACAUUUGGAAACGAAUGCUAAUACCGCAUAAAAACUUUAAACACAAGUUUUAAGUUUGAAAGAUGCAAUUGCACCACUCAAAGAUGAUCCCGCGUUGUAUUAGCUAGUUGGUGAGGUAAAGGCUCACCAAGGCGAUGAUACAUAGCCGACCUGAGAGGGUGAUCGGCCACAUUGGGACUGAGACACGGCCCAAACUCCUACGGGAGGCAGCAGUAGGGAAUCGUCGGCAAUGGACGAAAGUCUGACCGAGCAACGCCGCGUGAGUGAAGAAGGUUUUCGGAUCGUAAAAAUCUGUUGGUAGAGAAGAACGUUGGUGAGAGUGGAAAGCUCAUAAAGUGACGGUAACUACCCAGAAAGGGACGGCUAACUACGUG